rnacentral:rRNA from 1 species
ACAUCGCCUCUUGCCCCCUAAAAAUAAGAGGUCCCGCCUGCCCUGUGACUGUAAGUUUAACGGCCGCGGUACUCUGACCGUGCAAAGGUAGCGCAAUCACUUGUCUUUUAAAUGAAGACCUGUAUGAAUGGCAUAACGAGGGCUUAACUGUCUCCUUUUUCCAGUCAAUGAAAUUGAUCUCCCCGUGCAGAAGCGGGGAUACGGACAUAAGACGAGAAGACCCUAUGGAGCUUUAGACACCAGAACAGACCAUGUUAAGCACCCCCUAACAAGAGAUUAAACUAAUUGGCCCCUGCUCUAAUGUCUUUGGUUGGGGCGACCGCGGAGAAGCAAAAAACCUCCAUGUGGACCGGGAACACAACACUCCCACAACCAAGAGUUACAACUCUAAGGAACAGAAUUUUUGACCAACAAGAUCCGGCACACAGCCGAUCAACGGACCGAGUUACCCUAGGGAUAACAGCGCAAUCCUCUUUUAGAGCCCAUAUCGACAAGAGGGUUUACGACCUCGAUGUUGGAUCAGGACAUCCUAAUGGU